CUCCAGUACGUCUUCCAAAUACUCAUGGAAAUAUCAGUCAUUCAAAUUUUCAGGGGGAAAUAUGUUCUAAGUAUAUCGAUACAGAUAAAUGGAUAAGCCCAGGCCCUAUAUUUCCUGACCUGACCAGCUGCCUUGACCCUUGAGAAGGUUUUGUAUUUAUGGGAUGUGUAUGUGCAAGAAGAGUCAAAACACAGCCAUUGAUAAAUAGAAUCUAAUCGAGGCUAACAUGGAAUAAACUGAAAAAAAAUCCAGUAAAAAUUACACCAGCAUGCAACAGGAGUUGAGUGUAUGCAACAUCUUGCAGGAUCAGGCUUUACCAGGAGCUCGAACACUAAGGGGAAAUAUUGUAUCCAGCCCUGCAUAGGUUCUUAUGCUGCACUCCAUCCAGAGUGGGAUUUCACUCAAUUACAGCUCAGAAAAAAUCAAAUGCUAUCUUCUCACACAGGGACACUGAACUCCUUAUGGACUUCAUUUUCAAAAUGUUUGUAAUUUGUGUGCAAAAUUACCGUGAUUGUGUGUGAGAUGCUUAGCUGGCCAUUUAUGCAUGCAUAUACCUAAUUUUCAUGCAUAAUUGCCUAAUUUUAUGCAUAAUUUAUGUGCAUCUUAUUACACAAACUCAUUUUUUAAAAUCAGGCCCUAUAUAUGUCAAAUCAUAUGACUUCAUUUCCACACUAGGCAUUUCUGAUCUAGCUCAAUUACAUAAUUUCUGACUCUAAAACAACU